ensembl:snoRNA small nucleolar RNA, C/D box 57
CGGACAUGAUGUAAAAUCUCCUGCCUGACCAACUGCUGGAGGCAAAAACUGAUUUAAUGAGGCUGAUCC